CCAGCAAUUAAGGGUUCAUUCCCUGUGCACCUGGUGUGAUGCCCCUACUAUAUGUGUGCUGCACUGUGCUACUGAGUGGAGACAGGCUGCUACAGCCUCUUUACUGCUGGAUAUGAUCUCCAGGACAUACUGCCUAAAGCAAGCAUGUCAAACUCAAAGUCUAGCAUGGGCCACAUAAACAAGGUUUUAGUUUAUGUGGGCAGCAC